GACAGAGGGUGCAAACGUUGUUCGGAAUUACUGGGCGUAAAGCGAGUGUAGGCGGUGUGGUAAGUCGGAUGUGAAAGCCCCGGGCUCAACCCGGGAAGUGCACUCGAUACUGCCACGCUAGAGUAUCGGAGAGGUUGGUGGAAUUCUCGGUGUAGAGGUGAAAUUCGUAGAUAUCGAGAGGAACACCAAUGGCGAAGGCAGCUCGCUGGGACGGUACUGACGCUGAGGCGCGAAAGCGUGGGGAGCAAACAGG
rnacentral:rRNA from 1 species